UACAGAGACUGCAAGCGUUAUUCGGAAUUACUGGGCUUAAAGAGUCCGUAGGCGGCGCAGAAAGUAGGGUGUGAAAGCCCUCGGCUCAACCGAGGAAUUGCGCUCUAAACUACUGUGCUUGAGGAACCUAGAGGUGAGCGGAACUGAUGGUGGAGCGGUGAAAUGCGUUGAUAUCAUCAGGAACACCGGAGGCGAAGGCGGCUCACUGGGGGUUAUCUGACGCUGAGGGACGAAAGCCAGGGGAGCGAACGGG
rnacentral:rRNA from 1 species